rnacentral:lncRNA from 1 species
UUUCUUCCUAGUCUUGAUGGUCUUUACAAUUUGGCAUGAUUUUGCAGUGGCUGGAACCGCUUGUUCCUUUCCAUGUUUAGUGCUUCCUUCAGGAGCUCUUGUAGGGCAGGCCUGGUGGUGACAGAAUCUCUCAGCAUUUGCUAGUCUGUAAAGUAUUUUAUUUCUCCUUCACUUAUGAAGCUUAGUUUGGCUGGAUAUGAAAUUCUGGGUUGAAAAUUCUUUUCUUUAAGAAUGUUGAAUAUUGGCCCCCACUGUCUUCUGGCUUGUAGAGUUUCUGCCGAGAGAUCAGCUGUUAGUCUGAUGGGCUUCCCUUUGUGGGUAACCCUGCCUUUCUUUCUGGCUGCCCUUAACAUUUUUUCCUUCAUUUCAACUUUGGUAAAUCUGACAAUUAUGUGUUGCUCUUCUCGAGGAGUAUCUUUUUGGUGUUCUCUGUAUUUCCUGUAUUUGAAUGUUGGCCUGCCGUGCUAGGUUGGGGAAGUUCUCCUGGAUAAUAUCCUGCAGAGUGUUUUCCAACUUGGUUCCAUUCUCCCCAUCACUUUCAGGUACACCAAUCAGACGUAGAUUUGGUGUUUUCACAUAGUCCCAUAUUUCUUGGAGGCUUUGUUCAUUUCUUUUUAUUCUUUUUUCUCUAAACUUCCCUUCUCGCUUCAUUUCAUUCUUUUGAUUUUCCAUCACUGAUACGCUUUCUUCCAGUUGAUCAGAUCGACUACGAGGCUUGUGCAUUCGUCACAUAGUUUUUGUGCCUUGGUUUUCAGCUCCAUCAGGUCCUUUAAGGAGUUCUCUGCAUUGGUUAUUCUAGUUAGCCAUUCGUCUAAUUUUUUUUCAAGGUUUUUAAUUUCUUUGCCAUGGGUUUCAACUUCCUCCUUUAGCUCAGAGUAGUUUGAUCAUCUGAAGCCUUCUUCUCUCAACUCAUCAAAGCCAUUCUCCGUCCAGCUUUGUUCCAUUGCUGGUGAGGAGCUGCGUUCCUUUGGAGGAGGAGAGGCACUCUGAUUUUUAGAGUUUCCAGUUUUUCUACUCUGUUUUUUCCUCAUCUUUGUGGUUUUAUCUACCUUUGGUCUUUGAUGAUGACAACAUACAGAUGGGGAUUUGGUGUGGAUGUCCUUUCUGUUUGUUAGUGUUCCUCUUAACCAUCAGGACCCUCAGCUGCAGGUCUGUUGGAGUUUGCCGGAGGUCUGCUCCAGACCCUGUUUGCCUGGGUAUCAGCAGCGGAGGCUGCAGAACAUCGGAUACUGGUGACCAGCAAAUGUUGCUGCCUGAUUGUUCCUCUGGAAGUUUUGUCUCAGAGGAGUACCCAGCCGUGUGAGGUGUCAGUCUGCCCCUACCUCCCAGUUAGGCUACUCAGGGGUCAGGGACCCACUUGAGGCAGUCUGUCUGUUCUCAGAUCUCCAGCUGCAUGCUGGGAGAACCACUAUUCUCUUCAAAGCUGUCAGACAGGGACAUUUUAGUGUGCAGAGGUUACUGCUGCCUUUUGUUUGGCUAUUCCCUGCCCCCAGAGGUGGAGUCUACAGAGGUAGGCAGGCCUUCUUGAGCUGCAGUGGGCUCCACCAAGUUCGAGCUUCCCAGCAGCUUUGUUUACCUACUCAAGCCUCGGCAAUGGCGGGCGCCCCUCCCCCAGUCUCGCUGCUGCCUUGCCGUUUGAUCUCAGACUGCUGUUCUGGGAAUAAGCGAGGCUCCGUGGGCGUAGGACCCUCUGAGCCAGGCACGGGAUAUAAUCUCCUGGUGUGCCAUUUGCUAAGACCAUUGGAAAAGUGCAGUAUUAGGGUGGGAGUGACCCAAUUUUCCAGGUGCUGUCUGUCACCCCUUUCUUUGACUAGGAAAGGGAAUUCCCUGACCCUUGCACUUCCUGAGUGAGGCGAUGCCUCGCCCUGCUUCGGCUCACGCUGGGUGCGCUGCACCCACUGUCCUGCACCCACUUUCCGACACUCCCCAGUGAGAUGAGCCUGGUACCUCAGUUGGAAAUGCAGAAAUCACUCAUCUUCUGGGUCGCUCAUGCUGGGAGCUCUAGACUGGAGCUGUUCCUAUUUGGCCAUCUUGGCUCCACCCUCCAAGAUCUGUAUAUUGAGACAGGGAAAUUGCAACAGAGAAAGAAUAAUUCACACAGACCCGGCUGUGUGGGAGACCAGAGUUUUAUUAUUACUCAGAUCAGUCUCCCCAAGCAUUUGGGUGUC